GACGUAGGAUGCAAGCGUUGUCCGGAUUUAUUGGGCGUAAAGAGUUCGUAGGCGGUUCGUUAAGUCUGGUGUUAAAGAUCGGGGCUCAACCCCGGGAGUGCACUGGAUACUGGCGGACUCGAGUAUGGUAGAGGCAAGUGGAAUUCCCAGUGUAGCGGUGAAAUGCGUAGAUAUUGGGAAGAACACCGGUGGCGCAAGCGACUUGCUGGGCCAUUACUGACGCUGAGGAACGAAAAGCUAGGGGAGCGAAAUGAG
rnacentral:rRNA from 1 species